CGCUAGUGAAAAAGGGAAGGAUGCGAAUUCAACAGCACUAGCUCGUGGGAGAAGAGGAGGCAUUGCGUUGGAUUUUCACUGUAGGAACACCAAGUAAGAAGAGACAGAAAGUGAACAGAAAACAGUGUAAUAGACCCACCAAAGAAUUAGAACAAGGGGCCAGUUGCUUCUGCCUCCUUCGAGAAUUGUGUUCCUA